rnacentral:rRNA from 1 species
CCCCUCCUUCGGGAGGGUGUUCUAGCGGCGAACGGGUGAGUAACACGUGGGCAACCUGCCCUCAGCUCUGGGAUAACUCCAAGAAAUUGGGGCUAAUACCGGAUAUGACCGCUGACCGCAUGGUCUGGUGGUGGAAAGAUUUAUCGGCUGGGGAUGGGCCCGCGGCCUAUCAGCUUGUUGGUGGGGUAGUGGCCUACCAAGGCGACGACGGGUAGCCGGCCUGAGAGGGUGACCGGCCACACUGGGACUGAGACACGGCCCAGACUCCUACGGGAGGCAGCAGGGGGGAAUAUUGCGCAAUGGGCGGAAGCCUGACGCAGCGACGCCGCGUGGGGGAUGACGGCCUUCGGGUUGUAAACCUCUUUCAGCAGGGACGAAGCGAAAGUGACGGUACCUGCAGAAGAAGCACCGGCCAACUACGUGCCAGCAGCCGCGGUAAUACGUAGGGUGCAAGCGUUGUCCGGAAUUAUUGGGCGUAAAGAGCUCGUAGGCGGUUUGUUGCGUCGGCUGUGAAAUCCCGAGGCUCAACCUCGGGUCUGCAGUCGAUACGAGCAAACUAGAGUGUUGCAGGGGAGACUGGAAUUCCUGGUGUAGCGGUGAAAUGCGCAGAUAUCAGGAGGAACACCGGUGGCGAAGGCGGGUCUCUGGGCAACAACUGACGCUGAGGAGCGAAAGCGUGGGGAGCGAACAGGAUUAGAUACCCUGGUAGUCCACGCCGUAAACGUUGGGCGCUAGGUGUGGGGCUCAUUCCACGAGUUCCGUGCCGCAGCUAACGCAUUAAGCGCCCCGCCUGGGGAGUACGGCCGCAAGGCU